GGGAGGGGGGGUUAAAGAACACUAUGGGACAGGGUAGGAGGGGUUAACAAUCACUAUGGGACAGGGUAGGAGGGGUUAACAAUCACUAUGGGACAGAGGAAAGGGGGGUUAAAGAUCAUUAUGGGACAGGGGAGAAAAAAAAAUAUUCUGAACAAACUGUCCCAUGGUAAGAAACACCAUGGAACAGUUUGUUCAGAAUAUUUUUUUUUCUGGGUUUCCUCCUCUAAAAACUAGGUGCGUCUUAUGGUGAGGUGCGUCUUAUGGAGCGAAAAAUACGGUAAUCC
rnacentral:lncRNA from 1 species